UACGGGGGGAGCAAGCGUUGUUCGGAUUUACUGGGCGUAAAGGGCGCGUAGGCGGCCACCGCAGGUCAAUUGUGAAAUCUCCGGGCUUAACCCAGAAAGGUCAACUGAUACUGCGGGGCUAGAGUGCGGAAGGGGCAACUGGAAUUCUCGGUGUAGCGGUGAAAUGCGUAGAUAUUCGGAAGAACACCAGUGGCGAAGGCGACUUACUGGACACAUAUUGACGCUGAGGUGCGAAAGCGUGGGGAGCAAACAGG
rnacentral:rRNA from 1 species